UACAGAGGUCUCAAGCGUUGUUCGGAUUCAUUGGGCGUAAAGGGUGCGUAGGCGGCGCGGUAAGUCCGCUGUGAAAGUCGGGGGCUCAACCCUCGGAUGCCGGUGGAUACUGUCGGGCUCGAGUACGGAAGAGGCGAGUGGAAUUCCUGGUGUAGCGGUGAAAUGCGCAGAUAUCAGGAGGAACACCGAUUGCGAAGGCAGCUCGCUGGGACGUGACUGACGCUGAGACGCGAAAGCGUGGGGAGCAAACAGG
rnacentral:rRNA from 1 species